CGUUGCCUGUUAUUGUUUUCUUAUUUUAAAGAGUUUUUUCAGAACGCGUCUCGAACUCUCGGUGUUGUUGUGCAAAUUGUUCAUUAUAAAAUAGAAAUGAGUGUUUCUAUCGAUGCUGAUUCGGCUGUUGACGAUAGUAAUUAUAAUUUAAAAUGGCCACAUUUACAACAGUUUUUUGAACGAGGAAAUAUUGAGGAUAAAAAUAUUGAAUUUAAAUAUUUAUUAUGUAAACCUAAACAUAAGACAUCUCCACUCCACGUACAUCGCAUUCAAACUUGAGAGCACAUAUUAAGAUUAUGCCUCAGCCUUCCAGAAAAAGACACACAAGAAAGAUUCAUUGACAUAUUCAACAAUAUUCAUGAAGGAAAGACAAUGCAAGAACACAUUAGCGAUUUACUCCAACUUAAUUUUAAACGCAAUGACGGAGGAUCACGUAAGAUAUGCCAAAGUUGCUACAGAAAUUUGUGCAGUUUUAAUGAGAUGAAGAAAAAAUCAAAUGAAGCUCGAC